GGCGAGAUGGCCGAGCGGUCUAAGGCGCCAGAAUCAGGCAAGCUCCCCCUACGAGCAAUCUGGUCCGAAAGGGCGUGGGUUCGAAUCCCACUCUCGUCA